UUAACCUCAAACAGCCGUCAAACGUAACACAAAAUAUUAGUUUUUACAGGGUUUAUCUCCCAGUUUUUAAGUUCAUUACAGUCUUUAACCAAAAUUGCAACAAACAAACGAAUCAGUCGAUUACAAAGCAUUAAAAUCAAGGCUAGAAAAUUUUAGCCAUGCACCUCAAAACAAUAGUAUUUAGUCUAUGGUGUCUUUUCUCUAGUCUCUGAUUUUUGACAGCUGCAGCGGAAGAGAUUCAAGCCGAAAAUGUACAAAUUUACGAACCAUUUAGCCAACGCAAAGUUGGUAUUGGUACGCAAGCAGCUGGACGGCACUUGCGCCGCCCUGGUGCUCAUGCGCCAGCGGCGGCCAUUCGCCAACCCCCCGGAGAACUGCCUGCAGCCAAAGACUCCGCCCAAGAGUCGGAAGCUGCUGUAUGGCACGCUUGGGGCUGUGCUGCUCACUGGAGGCGCUGUUGUCUAUGCCAAGAACAGCCCUGAAGCCCGCAACUGGCUGGAGAGCAACAUGCCAAUGGCGAACGACUUCAUCGCACUAGUGUACCAGGAGAACACAACCUAUUGGAAGACUGCUGUCAACACCUUCAAUAGUGCCUCCACUUCACUCGGCCAUCUGAUGUUCGGGAAGGAGGGCGUGGUCCCGGUUGAAAUUAGAAAGAAGACCAAGGAGGAAUUUGAAGCUGAAGCCAAGAUAAACCUAGGACCCAAAAAUUACCCAUUGCCACCACCGGCCUUCGAACCCCUGUACCAUGAAGAACCGAAGAUAGUCACCCCGGAGGUACACCAGCCAGCAACCCUCAUCCAGACGGACAAAAGCGACCCCCAGCCACCUAUGAAGAUCGAGAUCACAAAAGACCUCGUAGAACUUGAACAAGAUAUGCAUGAAAAUACCCGCAUAGCUGUAGACAACUACAAAGAAGCCGUUAAAAAUGCUGAGAGAUAUAAUAAGGCGUUGUAUAGCAUUGUGGAGAGCCCCAUCGAGAACUUGGAUAAUACGUUGUUUAAGAAUGUGCAAUCCGCGCAGAACGAUCUCAAGACAACCGAAACAACGGCGAAAAAUGCUUGUGCUAAGGCCCGUUGCGCGAUCGAGACCCUAGACCGCAUGCUGAAGGCGGGCGUGAAGGCGCCUCCGGAGAGCGUCGCGUCCACCAAGCGCUACCUCAAGCAGUUCCGCGAGGACCUGGCGCGGGUCGAGGCGGCCUUCAACCAGGAGAAGGAGAAGGCGGUGCUCAGCGACAAAUACUGGGAGAAGGUGGAGCACGCGCGCCAGACGUACAAGCGCGAGCUGCAGGCCCUGUUCCCCGGCCUGGACCUGGGCGCUCGCAAGCUGGACGUGCGCGGCGACACCGACCUGCUGCUGCUGUACACGCUCCGACAGGUGGCGUAUCUGCAAAAUGAAAUCGCCGAGUUGCAAACAGUUAGAGAACUCAAAAUGAACCGAGCUAUUGAAUGUCACGACGAGAAAAAGCUGAUCGAAGCUAAAGUCGAGGACAUGAUUAAGAAGGAGCAGUUGGAAAAGGACAAGGAAUUCAAUAAAAAGAUCCUGGAGGUCCACGCGGAGGCUGCGCGGCAGAUGAAGGAGCAGCUCAAGAAACAGUUCGAGGUCCAACAGGAAGUCAUGCAGGCCGCCCUCGCGAGGAAGGAACAAGAGGUGAUGUCCAAAUUCAGCCGCCAAGUGUCCGAACAGGUGGAGAAGGAGCGGGUCAUCUUCAAGCGUGAACUGGCCGCCAUGGCCGGCAAGCUGCAGGCCAUCGAGCAGACAUUGAAACAACGCGCGAAAGCCGAAGCGGAAGCGCGGCGCUCGCAGUCGCUGUGGGCGGCCGCCGAGGCGCUGCUGGCCGCCACGCGCCGCGCCGCCGCCCGCGUGCCCGUGGACCGGGAGCUGCAGGCGCUGGAGAAGGCCGGUAAAAAUGAUAAGCUGGUGGAGACCGUGCUGAAAGGCAUACCGAAGGACGCGCGCAACAAGGGCAUUGUCACGGAGAAGACGUUGCGGGAUAGGUUUGACAUGGUGGAGCAGAACGCGGUGAAGGUGGCGCUCGUCGGCAGGAAUGGUGCUUCUCUACCCAUCUACUUCCUGUCGUGGCUGCAGUCCAAACUACUCUUCCCUAGGCUAGCUGAAAUACCGCAAGACGAAUUAGACAACCAACCCACAGACUUCUCGCAGUUAGACACCUUCGACAUUAUCCAGAGGGCGAGGUAUCACAUGGACCACGGCAACCUGCCGGCGGCGCUGCGCUACGUGAACCUGCUGCAGGGCGCGCCGCGCGCCGCCGCCGCGCCCUGGCUGGACGCGGCGCGCGCGCACCUGGAGGUCCGCCAGGCCGCCGAGGCCGUCAUGGCGCACGCCUCCGUGUCCGGCCUGCUCUACUUGUAGGGCCAACAGGUACUGCGUGCCCCGCGGCGACCUGCCGUGGCUGGAGGUCCGCCAGGCCGCCGAGGCCGUCAUGGCGCACGCCUCCGUGUCCGGCCUGCUCUACUUGUAGGGCCAACAGGUACUGCGUGCCCCGCGGCGACCUGCCGUGGCUGGAGGUCCGCCAGGCCGCCGAGGCCGUCAUGGCGCACGCCUCCGUGUCCGGCCUGCUCUACUUGUAGGGCCAACAGGUACUGCGUGCCCCGCGGCGACCUGCCGUGGCUGGAGGUCCGCCAGGCCGCCGAGGCCGUCAUGGCGCACGCCUCCGUGUCCGGCCUGCUCUACUUGUAGGGCCAACAGGUACUGCGUGCCCCGCGGCGACCUGCCGUGGCUGGAGGUCCGCCAGGCCGCCGAGGCCGUCAUGGCGCACGCCUCCGUGUCCGGCCUGCUCUACUUGUAGGGCCAACAGGUACUGCGUGCCCCGCGGCGACCUGCCGUGGCUGGAGGUCCGCCAGGCCGCCGAGGCCGUCAUGGCGCACGCCUCCGUGUCCGGCCUGCUCUACUUGUAGGGCCAACAGGUACUGCGUGCCCCGCGGCGACCUGCCGUGGCUGGAGGUCCGCCAGGCCGCCGAGGCCGUCAUGGCGCACGCCUCCGUGUCCGGCCUGCUCUACUUGUAGGGCCAACAGGUACUGCGUGCCCCGCGGCGACCUGCCGUGGCUGGAGGUCCGCCAGGCCGCCGAGGCCGUCAUGGCGCACGCCUCCGUGUCCGGCCUGCUCUACUUGUAGGGCCAACAGGUACUGCGUGCCCCGCGGCGACCUGCCGUGGCUGGAGGUCCGCCAGGCCGCCGAGGCCGUCAUGGCGCACGCCUCCGUGUCCGGCCUGCUCUACUUGUAGGGCCAACAGGUACUGCGUGCCCCGCGGCGACCUGCCGUGGCUGGAGGUCCGCCAGGCCGCCGAGGCCGUCAUGGCGCACGCCUCCGUGUCCGGCCUGCUCUACUUGUAGGGCCAACAGGUACUGCGUGCCCCGCGGCGACCUGCCGUGGCUGGAGGUCCGCCAGGCCGCCGAGGCCGUCAUGGCGCACGCCUCCGUGUCCGGCCUGCUCUACUUGUAGGGCCAACAGGUACUGCGUGCCCCGCGGCGACCUGCCGUGGCUGGAGGUCCGCCAGGCCGCCGAGGCCGUCAUGGCGCACGCCUCCGUGUCCGGCCUGCUCUACUUGUAGGGCCAACAGGUACUGCGUGCCCCGCGGCGACCUGCCGUGGCUGGAGGUCCGCCAGGCCGCCGAGGCCGUCAUGGCGCACGCCUCCGUGUCCGGCCUGCUCUACUUGUAGGGCCAACAGGUACUGCGUGCCCCGCGGCGACCUGCCGUGGCUGGAGGUCCGCCAGGCCGCCGAGGCCGUCAUGGCGCACGCCUCCGUGUCCGGCCUGCUCUACUUGUAGGGCCAACAGGUACUGCGUGCCCCGCGGCGACCUGCCGUGGCUGGAGGUCCGCCAGGCCGCCGAGGCCGUCAUGGCGCACGCCUCCGUGUCCGGCCUGCUCUACUUGUAGGGCCAACAGGUACUGCGUGCCCCGCGGCGACCUGCCGUGGCUGGAGGUCCGCCAGGCCGCCGAGGCCGUCAUGGCGCACGCCUCCGUGUCCGGCCUGCUCUACUUGUAGGGCCAACAGGUUAUAUAACUUGGAGCCCAAUGUAGCAGGAUCGACCUACAACAUGGACGUUCCCUAAAAAGAGAAAAAUGGCCAACUUGGUAACAUCUGACACAAAUUUUGGGAUAUAUCAAUUCAAAUCAUAGUAAAUUUAGUUUUUAAAUACACAUACCGUUAUCGACUCUAAUGUAAUAGCAAUAAAUAUUGAUUUGCAUUGUUACCAAUUACUAAUGAAAUGAAUGUUAUUUGCGUACUGAAGGAUAUAUUGUUUAAGACCGAUGUAGGAAUUAUUUUACUGUUAAAAGUUUAUUUCUAUACAAUAAUUCAAAAAAUCAGUGUACGCGAAGAUGAGACUAGUACAAAAAAACAGUAAAAUGUCUUAUGUGAAUUUGUUUUUAUCUUUAUACGUGUAAUAAAUUGUUUUUUGAUAAUGUUACUGUUUCAUAAACGUGUAUUAUUUUUUGACCAAAAAUAAUUGAUUGUAAUAGAGAGGUAAAGUCUAAGGAUAAAACGUGCCCCUUAGUUUGACAUCAAAAACAGAUGGCGCUGUACUGCGCCAUAUGUUUUGCGGUACUGAAUUGUCAAACGUCAACCUUUGACAACCAGAGAUACCGCAACAUGUAUGGAGCUGUACAGCGCCGUCUCGUUUACCUGUCAAAUUCGAAGCACGAAAUUGUUUUAGAUUUUACACAUCUUACUCAAUCAAUAUAUCUUUGUUUUUGACUCUAUUGCUGCUCUCCGCUUAAACUUAUAACACGUCUGUCAUUUUAUGUUACGAAUUGACGGUUUUUAGCACAAUGUAUUGAAAAAAAGGUCUUAAAUAGUACAUUACGAUACAAAUGCGAAAAAUAGGAAAUUCGAAACGAGUGGCGAUAAAUUAAAACACGACCGAAGGGAGUGUUUUAAAUCGACACGAGUUCCGAAUUACCUAUUCGCACAUGUAUCGUACAACGUUUUACAGUACAUAUGGCCCUUUAAAUGUUCGACACAGUAACGUAAUAUGCUACUUCUCGCACUAGUGCUAUAAAGUAGCCCCAUAUGUACUGUAAAAUAUAUUUUUAGCGGUAGGCAACAAAACAUCAUGAGGUCACUCUGCUGUCGGGUCUGUUAUUUACCACGUACAGUCAACGUAUUAAAUAUCGAUACGGACAAAGUGCCAAAAAUAUGUAUACACGACUUUAUUAAGGUAGUGUGUACAUAUUUUUGUUACUUUGUCCGUAUUUGACUGUACUAUCGCCAUAAAAAAAUUUAUACGAUAUGGGUUGUUCAACUCUUGAGACGUAUUUGUGAAAUAUGGCGAUUGACCUAUAAGUGCUAGUUGGAAAAAACCUAAGAAUUAAGUGAAAUCUUGGUUAAAUAAAGAUCGAAAAGUAUGAAUUUAUUUAUUGUUUAGAAUUAUAACAAAUUUCAUCUGAACGCAGUUCUGCUAACGGGCAAUUCACACUAAAUCUCCAUUCAAAUUCGGAAUUAUUUUUACUUCAUGUUUAGGGUACUAUGGUUUGUUAUUUUUUUUGUCGGGCGUUAGUUCCCGUUUGCAAAACUACGUCCAUCAAAAGUCCAACAAAAUGUUCUGUCGCAAAUUAUAAUUAUGGCUGUAGAUCGUGUCAUCCACGAUGACGCGAGGAUUUGUCAAUUCUAACCUUUAAUAUGAUGACAAUACGCGUCAAGGCACAUGUCUUCGUGAAUGUCACGAUCUAUACUUACUGUGAAAUGCAUAAUUUGUCGGGAGACUAAUAAAUGGAGGACACACGAUUAGAAAAUUGUAUGUUCAAUACAGUUCAUGGCAACAGCUUUGAGAACCACAAAGUAAAGGCGAUAGUCUGCAGCAGGAAUAGCUUGAACAAAUUUCUCAUAACAAUCUGAAACCGACUCUGUUGUUUAGAAAAUAAGGUCCAUACAGAUCGUUUUGAGGAUUUUCACUUUGCAAUGCUGUUUUUCUAAUUACAUUUUGAGAAUUCAUGGUAAACUGCCAAUUUAUUCAAUAGUAUAAUUUGCAUUUAUAGCGACUAACCUCUAGCAUACCGUUGUCUGUUAGAAAGAGACAGAUGCUUAUGUCUGGAGCAUGGGCUCUUUAGUCGAAUUGCACUUAACUAUAUCGCACCGUACAGUCGUAGAACGGAGUUACAUUUAGUAAUUUAUGUAAAUAUGAAGAUAUUAUUAAAUUUAAAUUAAACAAUGAUUUUUAUUUC